GUACACGUUAAAUUACCGCGUAUUGUGAUUCGCUUGUGGGCGUGCUGGCAGUAUUUUGACCGUGCGUCAAAAAUUCAGCACAGCAAGUUUGUAUGAAGGUCUUAUUAUUAAAUGAGUAAAUAGUUCAAUAGUAAUAUCCUCCAAAACACUCUGGUGACAAACUUUGCUACCCUGUUUCCAAUUGUUGACAUGGUUGGGAGAACCUAUUCAAAUACCUUGUAACUGGACAUUCCUUCAAAACGAUUGCCUUGUUAACGUGUAGGGCGCUGCAGCGUUGGGUCACCGGGGACUGCCUCCUGGAGGAAUUCAGGUGUGUGAAGGCUACCUGUGUCCUGCAUAACUUCAUGAGGAUGGACACGAGGACCAGGAGGGGAUCUGCAGCUCGCCGCCAUGUGCCAGAGGGGAAGUCUGCUGCUCUGCAGGAUGUUUCAAGGAUGGGGUCCAACAACGCAGCAAAAGAGGCAAUCUGUGUGCGGGAGUUCUUUACCUCCUACAUCUACUAAGAGGGUGCUGUUCCCUGACAAUGCCAUAGACUACACUAUGCACAACCAAAGGCUCUUUUAAUAGCCCUUCACAUUGCAAUAAGAAUAUUCUUCCAUUUACUUAGCUAUGUCAACUGCAGUUAUUCAAUUCCCACUUUCUCUCCCUUUGAUUUCAACUUCUCAGGUGAUGGUGCUGUUUAGGUAAGUGUGUGAUGCCUGUACAAAAACAAAACAGGCUAUUUUAAAUCAACCAUAUUGAAAAAAUGUAGAACAAUUUGACACCCUAUAGCCUAAACGCAUGUAUCAAUCUGAUUGAUGAAUUGUGUUGUGCAGUAAGCAGGCUCAGGUGUAUAACUGGCCUAUAACUUUCAAAAAAUAGGCAAGGCCAACCAUGGAGAAUAGUAAGACACUUCAUUAUUUCUAUAACUACGCUAUAUUGUUUGUCCGUUCAUGUUUUUCAGCAUAAAGUACUCUGUAGCCACUUAGUGUGGACACCAGGUGAGGCCACACGCACAAAUUCCUAUUGAACACUGUCUCUAACUACCUUAUUUUCUCUGUCUUUCUCCUUCACUUCAUCCCUCUCUUCUUCCUAAAUCCUCUAGGUUAUAUCAGCUAUGUAGGUGAACCCCUCCCGCAUCUGACUUGGCUACAUAGAGGGCACAGCAUGAUAUAUUUUGACAUGAGGAUGCCAACCCCUGGUCCCAUCAUUGCCACCUUACCCGCUCUUAAGAUAACCUUCGGGCCGACUAGAAACACUGUAAUUUUGAUGAACUGAGAAAAUAUUUGGGUAGCACUGAUUCAUUAAUCAUAUGCUGCAUUCCCUGCUCUUUCCCUUUUAUGCCUCUUCCUCUGUUUUUAUAAUGCACAACAGAUGUGCAUUGAAGUACAGAUUGAACUUGUAUUUAUAUGACAAUUAUAAUAUUUAAUGCAUGUAUUUAUAACACUUUGAUAAUGAACUUCUUUCAAUAAAGCAUUUCACA